AGGGUUUGAUUCUGGCUCAGGAUGAACGCUAGCGACAGGCUUAACACAUGCAAGUCGAGGGGCAGCAUGAUUUGUAGCAAUACAGAUUGAUGGCGACCGGCGCACGGGUGAGUAACGCGUAUGCAACUUACCUAUCAGAGGGGGAUAGCCCGGCGAAAGUCGGAUUAAUACCCCAUAAAACAGGGGUCCCGCAUGGGAAUAUUUGUUAAAGAUUCAUCGCUGAUAGAUAGGCAUGCGUUCCAUUAGGCAGUUGGCGGGGUAACGGCCCACCAAACCGACGAUGGAUAGGGGUUCUGAGAGGAAGGUCCCCCACAUUGGUACUGAGACACGGACCAA
rnacentral:rRNA from 1 species